rnacentral:lncRNA from 1 species
GGCUGCUCCAGCAAGCCCCGCAUUCUGAGGCUUCGUUGGGUGAGGAGCAGACACCAGUGUUUGUGCCUCUAAACUUCAGAGGACAGAUGUUAAUUUCUGCUGAGAAUUUCCUUAUGCAGUACUGGGUGCAGCUAUAAAUUUCUACAGCUCUGCCAAGGAUUUAUGUUAAUAGAAGCCAUCGCUUAACAUCUUGGGUCUCAACUUAGCUUUAAAAUAGGGAAGAUAAAAUCCACUUCAUAAAGUGGUAAAGUUUGAAUCAACUCACGUAAAGUACUUAGAACAGCAUCAGAAACACGAAAUGCAAGCUGUGCUGCCUGGAGUUGGAGGAGCGGUGAUGCACACACUCCCUCGGCCACCUCAGCUGGUGUUUCACUGGGUCAUGGGCACCCCAAGUCUGCCAGCUCCAAGCCCAGCACAGCCCUAGAACUAGCCCAGGAAUUGCAGUCCUUGUGGCUUAGACUGCCUUUUAAGUUUACUUGGGACCCUAGAGCCCUUUAGCCCAUGAUGAUGGGGGUUGCUGGAACUCAGAUUCCCACUACCAGGAUGGAUAAUUUCCCUGUGGCUAGGGCUAGUCUAAAAGCUCCCUCCAUGGGUGCUGGCUGAAGUCUGCCUUGUAUUGCUUUCCAUUAUGACAGGGCAGCACUGAAUUCCAGUGCAAAGCCCCACAAUUACUGUACUGUCCUUCCCCCAAGUGUACAGAUUCUCUCUUCUGCCCCACAUAGUGCCACCAGGGGAUGGGGGAGCAGUGGUGUCAGGAAUUUAAGACUGUCUUUCCUACCCUCUUCAGUGUCUCUUUCCUUAACAUGAUGUUAAAACCAGGUACUGUGAUCACUCACUUGCUUUUUGGUUCUUAUGAAGGUGAUUUCUUCUGUGGAUAGUAGUUCAAUUUGGUGUUCCUGUGAGGAGGACAGUCACUGAAGGGUUCUGUUUGGCCAUCUUGCUCCCUUGUUUUUUGUUUACAUUGUCUAUGUCACCUCACAUAGUCCAGAAUGUACUGAGUGAAUUUAAUAAAUGUUUGUUGCAGUAAUGAAUAAACGAGAAGUAAACUUUCUUUAAGUUUUGGAACCUAAAAUAAUAAGUUUUAGUUGGGAAAACUCCCUAAUAACAUCCUUGGGAGUACAAGUAUGAUUAACAAAGAUUACUUAUCUCAGAAAGGUAAAUUUUAUAUGUGAAA